AUGACCCAACUGCCUCUGGCUCUGGGAUUUGGAGUAAGUAGGCUUUGGAAGGCAGCCCAGCUUAGGUGUGUCUACUUGCAUCCUAGUAUCUGUUGUUACAUUACACAAGUGACCCUGGGAUGCUCUGCACUUCGGAGCAUUCCUGCUUGCUAUUCGUCGCUGUCACCAUGUGCCUCAGCCUCAGUUACUGCAGAGGUGAAUGUAAAUGGUUCCUGUGAUGUCUAUCCCUCCAGUUAUCUUCUGACUUACAAAGGUGAUGUCCCUUCAUCCCUGGAGGUGCUUCAGCCUGUUGGCUGCACCCAGAAGUACAGCAUGAUACAGCACAGGGCAGGCUUGCUGUCAGGACUGAGUUCAUUCUCCACACUCACCUGA
rnacentral:lncRNA from 1 species